UCCGUUCACAUUCGGAUUUUAUUGUG
rnacentral:miRNA from 1 species